rnacentral:tRNA from 1 species
GCCGCCUUAGCUCAGCUGGUAGAGCAACCGCCUUGUAAGCGGUAGGUCAUCCGUUCGAUUCGGAUAGGCGGCACCA